GACGAACGCUGGCGGCGUGCCUAAUACAUGCAAGUCGAACGCAGUGGGGACGGGUGAGUAACACGUGGGUAACCUCCCAUCAGAGGGGAUAACACUUGGAAACAGGUGCUAAACCGAUACUGAUGGAUGGACCCGCGGUGCAUUAGCUAGUUGGUGAGGUAACGGCUCACCAAGGCCACGAUGCAUAGCCGGCCUGCAAGGGACAUCGGCCACAAUGAAACUAAUGCACGGCCCAGACUCCGACGAGAGGCAGCGUGAGGGAAUCUUCGGCAAUGAACGAAAGUCUGACCGAGCUACGCCGCGUGAGUGAAGAAGGUUUUCGGAUCGUAAAACUCUGUUGUUAGAGAAGCGGUAUCUAACCAGAAAGCCACGACUAACUACGUGCCAGCCACCGCGGUAAUAC
rnacentral:rRNA from 1 species